rnacentral:misc_RNA from 1 species
AAGUCGUAACAAGGUUUCCGUAGGUGAACCUGCGGAAGGAUCAUUACUGAAUUGUCAAACGGGUUGUUGCUGGCCCUCAUAGGGGGCAUGUGCACGCUCUGUUUACACAUCCACUCACACCUGUGCACCCUCUGUAGUUCUAUGGUUUGGGGGACCCUGUCUUCCUUCUGUGGUUCUACGUCUUUACACACACACUGUAAUAAAGUUUUAUGGAAUGUACAUCGCGUCUAACGCAAUACAAUACAACUUUCAGCAACGGAUCUCUUGGCUCUC